CCUCUGAUUAGCUCUGUUAGGAUAAAUUAGUUAGAAUUUAUAAUUAUAUACGAACUUUUGUGGGAUUUUUAGCUCUUAAGGGGGAAUUUUAUUUCGUAAUUUUUAAUUUUAAUUUUUAAGGGGACUUAGAAUUAGUUAAUUUUUAUAGGAACACAAAAAGUUGUGCCAGCAUGUGCGGUUACACUUCUGUUUCAAAUUAAUUUUUUCAGUUAUCAAUUAGUUUUGUUAAGUUGAAUUUUAAAUUUAAUAUAUGAAGUGAAAUUCUAUUUUGAAUUUAAGUUUUGGUUUAAUUUAUUAAUUUUAAAAUCAGGUUUUAAACUAGGAUUAGAUACCCUAUUAUUUUGAUUGUGAAUUGAAUAUUUAUAUUAUUAGUAGUUAUGUCUUUAAAAUAAAAGGGCUUGGCGGUAAUUUAAUCUCUUUAGAGGAAUCUGUCCUGUAAUUGAUAAUCCACGUUAUAUUUUACUUUAAUUUAGUUUGUAUACCUCUGUCAUUGAAUGUCUUAUUAGGGUUAUCUUCUUUAUUUAUUUUAACAAUAGAUGUCAAGUCAAGGUGCAGCAAUAUUAAAGUUGAGAUGGAUUACAAUUUAUGUUUAUAAUUGAAUAUUAAUAUUUAUAUGUUAAUUGAAAUUGGAUUUAAAGGUAAAAUUUAUUAUUUUAUAAAUUUGAUUUUAGCUCUAAAUUAUGUACAUAUCGCCCGUCACUCCUGUAGUACAAUAUAGGAUAAGUCGUAACAAAGUAAUUUUACCGGAAGGUGAGGUUAGAAUAUC
rnacentral:ncRNA from 1 species